rnacentral:rRNA from 1 species
GAUGAACGCUGGCGGCGUGCCUAAUACAUGCAAGUCGAGCGAACGGACGAGAAGCUUGCUUCUUUGAUGUUAGCGGCGGACGGGUGAGUAACACGUGGAUACCCUACCUAUAAGACUGGGAUAACUUCGGGAAACCGUAGCUAAUACCGGAUAAUCUUUUGAACCGCAUGGUUCAAAAGUGAAAGACGGUCUUGCUGUCUCUUAUAGAUGGAUCCGGGCUGCAUUAGAUAGUUGGUAAGGUAACGGCUUACCAAGGCUACGAUGCGUAGCCGACCGGAGAGGGGGGUCGGCCACACUGGAACUGGGACGCGGUCCAGACUCCUGAGGGAGGCAGCAGUAGGGAAUGGUACGCAGUGGGCGAGAGCCUGACGGAGCGAGGCGGAGUGAGUGAUGAAGGUCUUCGGAUCGUAAAACUCUGUUAUGAGGGAAGAACAGAUGUGUAAGUAACUGUGCACAUCUUGACGGUAACUAAUCAGAAAGCCACGGCUAACUACGUG